UACGAAGGGGGCUAGCGUUGCUCGGAAUCACUGGGCGUAAAGCGCACGUAGGCGGAUUGCUAAGUCAGGGGGUGAAAUCCUGGAGCUCAACUCCAGAACUGCCUUUGAUACUGGCGACCUUGAGUCCGGGAGAGGUGAGUGGAACUGCGAGUGUAGAGGUGAAAUUCGUAGAUAUUCGCAAGAACACCAGUGGCGAAGGCGGCUCACUGGCCCGGUACUGACGCUGAGGUGCGAAAGCGUGGGGAGCAAACAGG
rnacentral:rRNA from 1 species